rfam:Acyrthosiphon pisum strain LSR1 Contig40495, whole genome shotgun sequence.
AAAAUGGUCCUUUUCAGGACCACCAAACAUAACAGUAUGGCAAUGU